CAGAAACUCAAAGGAAGUUGACGGGGCCCGGCACAAGCGGUGGAACAUGUGGUUUAAUUCGAAGCAACGCGAAGAACCUUACCAGGCCUUGACAUGCAGAGAACUUUCCAGAGAUGGAUUGGUGCCUUCGGGAACUCUGACACAGGUGCUGCAUGGCUGUCGUCAGCUCGUGUCGUGAGAUGUUGGGUUAAGUCCCGUAACGAGCGCAACCCUAUUGCUAGUUACCAUCAUUAAGUUGGGGACUCUAGCGAGACUGCCAGUGAUAAACUGGAGGAAGGUGGGGAUGACGUCAAAUCAUCAUGCCCCUUAUGACCUGGGCUACAAACGUGAUACAAUGGCUGGAACAAAGGGAUGCGAAGCAGUGAUGUGGAGCGAAACCCAUAAAAACAGUCUCAGUUCGGAUUGAAGUCUGCAACUCGACUUCAUGAAGUCGGAAUCGCUAGUAAUCGAGGAUCAGAACGCCGCGGUGAAUACGUUCUCGGGGUUU
rnacentral:rRNA from 1 species